rnacentral:lncRNA from 1 species
CUUUCCCUAGUCGCCUUUUGCCAACAUUAGGUCUCCAAUCCCUAAGUUGAGCUUUUUAGACAUAGGGCCUCCAUUCACUAGUCGCCUUUUGCCAAUAUUAGGGCUCUGAUCCCUGAGUUGAGCUUUUUAGACAUAGGGCCUCCAUUCCCUAGUCGCCUUUUGCCAACAUUAGGGUUCCAAACCCUGAGUUGAGCUUUUUAGACAUAGGGCCUCCAUUCCCUAGUCGCCUUUUUGCCAACAUUAGGGCUCCAAUCCCUGAGUUGAGCUUUUUAGACAUAGGGCCUCCAUUCCCU